rnacentral:rRNA from 1 species
UACGUAGGGGGCAAGCGUUGUCCGGAAUCAUUGGGCGUAAAGAGCGUGUAGGCGGCCCGGUAAGUCCGCCGUGAAAGUCCAGGGCUCAACCCUGGAAUGCCGGUGGAAACUGCCGGGCUGGAGUCCGGAAGAGGCGAGUGGAAUUCCUGGUGUAGCGGUGAAAUGCGCAGAUAUCAGGAGGAACACCAAUGGCGAAGGCAGCUCGCUGGGACGGUACUGACGCUGAGGUGCGAAAGCGUGGGGAGCAAACAGG